GGGAGGCAUCAGAGUCACGUGUUGAUCCUUGUGGACAAGAGGAACCUGCCUGGACUCAACCCUCCUGUUGAGAAGAACAUGAAAUAGAUCUGAAGAAACGUUCCAC
rnacentral:lncRNA from 1 species